rnacentral:lncRNA from 1 species
AUCCGGAUCUUUCUGGCCCUGCCUGACCUCGCGGGAUUCAGCCGCAGCUUCGACACCUCCCUCCUGCCUGCCGGCCACCAACACCUGGAAGCUGGUCCCCAGGCCCCACCCCUUCCCCAGGCGGGGCCGGCUCAAGCAGGCCCCGCCCACCGGCUCCGGCCCCGGAGGAGGUCCCCUCCAAAUGGGUCACAACCCCUCUGCGUUCCCUGGUCUCUCUGUGGGCACCGUCCUUCCAGAGCUGCCUGCCACCUUGAGUGUACCCUUGCUUUCCCAGCUCCCCCUCCUCUGCCGUCCUGCCCCCUCCCUGCCCUUUCCUCGGCAUGGCCUGGGGUUCUGGAGUCCCUAAAGAAAUGGAGACGGCUGACCAUGCUGAGGCUGGAUCCAGUGACUGCGUCCAGUGGCUCCCAGGACCGAUCUGUGCUCUCCUCUGGGAGCGGACUAGGCAGGCGCGUGGACCAGCCAUUCGGAGCAAGACUCGAUCUCUGUGCGUGUCAGUUGCAGAUUCCCAGGGUAGUGCCCCCAUCUGUCCAUGUGGCAUUCUGUCUGCUUGCUCCCAGAACGUCGCCUCUGUCCCCAACACUGCUGUGGGCUAGGAUAUUGGAAACAUCCUCGGAGCCGGAAUAAUCCAUCCUCCCCAGGGAGUAUUCUCAGCAUGCUGGACGACCCACAAGGACGUCGGCGCACGUCCUACCCAGCGACCCUCUCUCUGGAUGGCACAAACCUCCAGGGAAGAGAGGCCAAGGAGGCGCCGCUCCGGUCCGUCAGGCCCCUGGUUUGCAAAUGAAGAGCUGCCCUCAACAUGUGUGUAAGUUAGAACAUGGAAAAGGCUCGUCCUGAGAGCCCGAAACGGCAUAGCUGUGGAAUAAAUUGUUUUGAAAGUAACUUGAGCA